GACGAACGCUGGCGGCGUGCUUAACACAUGCAAGUCGAACGGUGAACCUCUUCGGAGGGGAUCAGUGGCGAACGGGUGAGUAACACGUGGGCAACCUGCCCCCGGCUCUGGGAUAACUCCAAGAAAUUGGGGCUAAUACCGGAUGUUCACCGCUUCCCGCAUGGGUGGUGGUGGAAAGGGUUUCCGGCUGGGGAUGGGCCCGCGGCCUAUCAGCUUGUUGGUGGGGUAGUGGCCUACCAAGGCGACGACGGGUAGCCGGCCUGAGAGGGUGACCGGCCACACUGGGACUGAGACACGGCCCAGACUCCUACGGGAGGCAGCAGUGGGGAAUAUUGCGCAAUGGGCGGAAGCCUGACGCAGCGACGCCGCGUGGGGGGUGACGGCCUUCGGGUUGUAAACCUCUUUCAGCAGGGACGAAGCGCAAGUGACGGUACCUGCAGAAGAAGCACCGGCCAACUACGUG
rnacentral:rRNA from 1 species